UCCAUUUGGUUCUGGUUUGAGACUGUCCUAUUAACAAAAUGAAAUUUGCAGUUUUCUUUUUGGUAGCUGCUCUAUGCAGUUCCUAUACAAAUUCCGCAUCAGUCUCACAACCAAAUUGCCUUCAACAGCUAUUCCAGGAUGAUGCCCCAGUCCUUCUCCAAAGUUUGGCUACCCUCUUAUGUGAAUACAAAUUAGCAAAGGUAAA